ensembl:lncRNA
CUAGAGUCUUGAAUAAGGCGCUAUCCACGCUGAAGAACUGUCUGUCUGUGGUAGGCGGCGCACCGGCUGCUGAGUGCUGAUGUUCUUGCAGCGUUUCAACGGGAAAUCUGGGUCUCAGCGCGCGCAGUCAUUGCUGUCACAACAACCGCGCGUGCAGUUGUGAGAGAGGGUCAUUCCCGCCGGCGGGAAACUGUCUUAACACCUGUAUCGGAUGUUGACAGCUGAACAUUUUUACCUCAGAAAACAACGCGGGAACACACCUACUCAGUUCACCAGCACGACUUGAUAAACAUUUCAUUGAACGCAAAACGAGACCUAUGACACACUGUUGAGGGAUGAACUCGUCGGCUGGAGUGGGGAAUUACCGAAGGGGUUCAACCAGUGGUGAUAAGAACGCAUCUCUCCUCAAUGACCCUGCUCCUAUCAGCAGAAGCCUGUCAGCUCGAGCUCUGAAUGAAGGAGCUGUAAAGUAUUAUUGGAUGCAUCUAAAUCACUGCACUGCUUGGAAUAUAUCACCACGGUGUAGAGAGAACCCAUCAUGCUCUCCUGCAGGAGCAGAUAUAUGUUAUAACUCACUUAGAGCGCCACGGCAGGAUGACAGAUUUGUGAUAGAGAGAGUUUGGAUGAGCUCCCUUUUGCUGAAAAAAAUGCUGCUUACUCCCUCUUCUGAAAGAGAAAAUAGUUUGCACAUAGACAGGAAAUUGCAUCCCGAAUUUUAAAUAUACAAACUGCACCUGAGAUAGAGAACACUUCAAAGCAUUUAGCUCCCUUUGAGCAGUUAGUAUUCUUUGCAUAUUUUGCCAUGCAUCAGCAGCAGACAAAUGCAAGCGCCGUUCUGUGUGUUUGCUACAACUAACUCAUUUAUUUGAUUGGCUGAAUAAUUGGAUAAACAAGUCAAAUUGUAUUUAUCAGUAUUUUAUUUAAUAUCUUAUUCCAAAUCCUG